UACGGGGGGAGCAAGCGUUGUUCGGAUUUACUGGGCGUAAAGGGCGCGUAGGCGGCGCAACAAGUCACUUGUGAAAUCUCCGGGCUUAACCCGGAGCGGCCAAGUGAUACUGUCGUGCUAGAGUGCGGAAGGGGCUACUGGAAUUCUCGGUGUAGCGGUGAAAUGCGUAGAUAUCGAGAGGAACACCUGCGGCGAAGGCGGGUUGCUGGGCUGACACUGACGCUGAGGCGCGAAAGCCAGGGAGCGAACGGG
rnacentral:rRNA from 1 species